rnacentral:rRNA from 1 species
GUGGGGAAUCUUGCGCAAUGGGCGAAAGCCUGACGCAGCCAUGCCGCGUGAAUGAUGAAGGUCUUAGGAUUGUAAAAUUCUUUCACCGGGGACGAUAAUGACGGUACCCGGAGAAGAAGCUCCGGCUAACUUCGUGCCAGCAGCCGCGGUAAUACGAAGGGGGCUAGCGUUGCUCGGAAUUACUGGGCGUAAAGGGCGCGUAGGCGGACAGCUUAGUCAGAGGUGAAAGCCCAGGGCUCAACCUUGGAAUUGCCUUUGAUACUGGCUGUCUUGAGUAUGGAAGAGGUGUGUGGAACUCCGAGUGUAGAGGUGAAAUUCGUAGAUAUUCGGAAGAACACCAGUGGCGAAGGCGACACACUGGUCCAUUACUGACGCUGAGGCGCGAAAGCGUGGGGAGCAAACAGGAUUAGAUACCCCAGUAGUCC